rnacentral:rRNA from 1 species
AGGACGAACGCUGGCGGCGUGCUUAACACGUGCAAGUCGAGCGGUAAGGCCCUUCGGGGUACACGAGCGGCGAACGGGUGAGUAACACGUGGGUGACCUGCCCCCAACUCUGGGAUAAGCCCGGGAAACUGGGUCUAAUACCGGAUAUGACCACAUGUCGCAUGGUGUGUGGUGGAAAGUUUUUCGGUUGGGGAUGGGCCCGCGGCCUAUCAGCUUGUUGGUGGGGUGAUGGCCUACCAAGGCGACGACGGGUAG